UACAGAGACUGCAAGCGUUAUUCGGAUUCACUGGGCGUAAAGGGUGCGCAGGCGGCCGAGUGUGUUAGAUGUGAAAUCCCGGGGGCUCAACCCCGGACGUGCGUCUAAAACUAACUUGGCUAGAGUAUUGGAGAGGGUAGCGGAAUUCACGGUGUAGCAGUGAAAUAGCGUAGAUAUCGUGAGGAAGACCAGUGGCGAAGGCGAAUCUCUGGGC
rnacentral:rRNA from 1 species